ACGCUGGCGGCGUGCCUAAUACAUGCAAGUGGGACGCAAGGGAACACACUGUGCUUGCACACCGUGUUUUCUUGAGUCGCGAACGGGUGAGUAACGCGUAGGUAACCUGCCUAUUAGCGGGGGAUAACUAUUGGAAACGAUAGCUAAUACCGCAUAAUAUUAAUUAUUGCAUGAUAAUUGAUUGAAAGAUGCAAGCGCAUCACUAGUAGAUGGACCUGCGUUGUAUUAGCUAGUUGGUAAGGUAAGAGCUUACCAAGGCGACGAUACAUAGCCGACCUGAGAGGGUGAUCGGCCACACUGGGACUGAGACACGGCCCAGACUCCUACGGGAGGCAGCAGUAGGGAAUCUUCGGCAAUGGACGAAAGUCUGACCGAGCAACGCCGCGUGAGUGAAGAAGGUUUUCGGAUCGUAAAGCUCUGUUGUAAGUCAAGAACGUGUGUGAGAGUGGAAAGUUCACACAGUGACGGUAGCUUACCAGAAAGGGACGGCUAACUACGUGCCAGCAGCCGCGGUAAUACGUAGGUCCCGAGCGUUGUCCGGAUUUAUUGGGCGUAAAGGGAGCGCAGGCGGUCAGGAAAGUCUGGAGUAAAAGGCUAUGGCUCAACCAUAGUGUGCUCUGGAAACUGUCUGACUUGAGUGCAGAAGGGGAGAGUGGAAUUCCAUGUGUAGCGGUGAAAUGCGUAGAUAUAUGGAGGAACACCAGUGGCGAAAGCGGCUCUCUGGUCUGUCACUGACGCUGAGGCUCGAAAGCGUGGGUAGCGAACAGGAUUAGAUACCCUGGUAGUCCACGCCGUAAACGAUGAGUGCUAGGUGUUAGGCCCUUUCCGGGGCUUAGUGCCGGAGCUAACGCAAUAAGCACUCCGCCUGGGGAGUACGACCGCAAGGUUGAAACUCAAAGGAAUUGACGGG
rnacentral:rRNA from 1 species